GACCCGACUGCUAUUUGGGUGAGGAUAAGCCAUGCGAGUUGAAUGGGAAACCUAAAGUUCCCAUGGCAAACUGCUCAGUAACACAUGAUCAACUUAACCUAUAGAGAAAAAUAACCUCGGGAAACUGAGGAUAAUGUUUCAUAGUUGAAUUGGCUUGGAAAAGUUUUUCGACGAAAGGGGUAAAAAAAAUGGUUUUUAUCUGCUAUAGGAUAGGAUCGUGUUCGAUUAUGGUUGUUGGUGAGGUAAUGGCUCACCAAGCCGAUAAUCGAUAGGGGCCGUGAGAGCGGGAGCCCCGAGAUGGGUACUGAGACAACGACCCAGGCCUUACGAGGCGCAGCAGGCGCGAAACCUCCGCAAUACACGAAAGUGUGACGGGGUUACCCAAAGUGUUCAAUUUUGAACUGUGGUAGGUGAGUAAUGUUCCCUACUAGAAAGGAGAGGGCAAGGCUGGUGCCAGCCGCCGCGGUAAAACCAGCUCUUCAAGUGGUCGGGAUAAUUAUUGGGCUUAAAGUGUCCGUAGCCGGUUUAGUAAGUUCCUGGUAAAAUCGGGUAGCUUAACUAUCUAUAUGCUAGGAAUACUACUAUACUAGAGGGCGGGAGAGGUCUGAGGUACUACAGGGGUAGGGGUGAAAUCUUAUAAUCCUUGUUGGACCACCAGUGGCGAANGCGUCAGACUGGAACGCGCCUGACGGUGAGGGACGAAAGCCAGGGGAGCGAACCGGAUUAGAUACCCGGGUAGUCCUGGCCGUAAACGAUGCAUACUANGUGAUGGCACGG
rnacentral:rRNA from 1 species